UACGUAGGGUGCAAGCGUUGUCCGGAAUUACUGGGCGUAAAGCGCACGUAGGCGGCUUUCUAAGUCGGGGGUGAAAUCCUGGAGCCUCAACUCCAGAACGUGCCUUCGAUACUGGAGAGCUCGAGUCCGGGAGAGGUGAGUGGAACGUGCGAGUGUAGAGGUGAAAUGCGCAGAUGAGUCAGGAAGAACACCCGUGGCGAAGGCGGCUCUCUGGGUGACGGUACUGACGCUGAGACGCGAAAGCGUGGGGGAGCGAACAGG
rnacentral:rRNA from 1 species